AUCAUGGCUCAGGAUGAACGCNGGCGGCGUGCCUAACACAUGCAAGUCGAACGAAGAGGCCCCUUCGGGGGUACUUCAGUGGCGGACGGGUGAGUACAACAUAGGUGACCUACCCCAAAGCGGGGGAUAACAGUCCGAAAGGAUUGCUAAUACCCCAUGUGGUCCUUGAGAUUUGAGGCUCGAUGACUAAAGGAGUAAUCCGUUUUGGGAGGGGCCUGUGGCCCAUCAGCUUGUUGGCAGGGUAAUGGCCUACCAAGGCUACGACGGGUAGGGGGCCUGAGAGGGUGACCCCCCACAUUGGCACUGUCACACGGGCCAAACUCCUACGGGAGGCAGCAGUGAGGAAUAUUGCACAAUGGGCGAAAGCCUGAUGCAGCAACGCCGCGUGAGCGAUGAAGGCCUUCGGGUCGUAAAGCUCUUUUGAGAGGGACGAGAUAGGACGGUACCUCUUGAAUAAGUCACGGCUAACUACGUGCCAGCAGCCGCGGUAAAACGUAGGUGGCAAGCGUUAUCCGGAUUCACUGGGCGUAAAGCGAGUGCAGGUGGCUUUGUAAGUUGGAUGUGAAAUAUCCCGGCUUAACCGGGAAGGGUCAUUCAAUACUGCAGGGCUUGAGGGCAAAAGAGGGGGGUGGAAUUGCCGGUGUAGUGGUGAAAUGCGUAGAUAUCGGCAGGAACACCUGUGGCGAAAGCGGCCCCCUGGUUUGCUCCUGACACUCAGACUCGAAAGCUAGGGUAGCGAACGGGAUUAGAAACCCCGGUAGUCCUAGCCGUAAACGAUGGAUGCUAGGUGUAGGUGGUAUUGACCCCAUCUGUGCCGAAGCUAACGCGUUAAGCAUCCCGCCUGGGGACUACGGCCGCAAGGUUAAAACUCAAAU
rnacentral:rRNA from 1 species